rnacentral:rRNA from 1 species
GACGAACGCUGGCGGCGUGCUUAACACAUGCAAGUCGAACGGAAAGGCCCUGCUUUUGUGGGGUGCUCGAGUGGCGAACGGGUGAGUAACCCGUGAGUAACCUGCCCUUGACUUUGGGAUAACUUCAGGAACCUGGGGCUAAUACCGGAUAGGGGCUCCUGCUCCAUGGUGGGGGUUGGAAAGUUUCGGCGGUUGGGGAUGGACUCGCGGCUUAUCAGCUUGUUGGUGGGGUAGUGGCUUACCAAGGCUUUGACGGGUAGCCGGCCUGAGAGGGUGACCGGCCACAUUGGGACUGAGAUACGGCCCAGACUCCUACGGGAGGCAGCAGUGGGGAAUAUUGCACAAUGGGCGGAAGCCUGAUGCAGCAACGCCGCGUGCGGGAUGACGGCCUUCGGGUUGUAAACCGCUUUCGCCUGUGACGAAGCGUGAGUGACGGUAAUGGGUAAAGAAGCACCGGCUAACUACGUG